rnacentral:misc_RNA from 1 species
AUUAUGUUCUUCUUACUUUAUUUUCCAGCCUUACAAAAUCCCUCCUCAUCAACCUCAAAGUUUUAAGGUGAUUGAAAAUUCUUCUUGAAAAUCUUGUUUCUGAAACUUCUUGGAAAUCUUGUUUUCUCUGGGUCUUGAAUGCUUUUAGUUUCUUUAUAUUAGGUUGAUGAUUUUGGAUAUGACGAAGAGCAAGGGCAAGGGAAGUCAUGGUCGUGCCCAGCAACUGCAAGGGAAGAAGACCACAACAAGAAGAUAUAUGAAUCCAUGCAUGCCAUGUUGUUUUCUGAUGUCCUCCAUAUCUAGAAGGGUUGGCAGAUGUUUGUUUGUAAGUUGUUACCCUGUUGUGCAGUGCUUUGGUUGGGAUGACCAUAGGCACCACCAUCACCACCACAGGCAUUUCCAUUGAUUCACCUUCAAUUAUCCCCAUCGCCAAGAAAUUUUUAACUUCUUUAAUAUGCCUAAUUUCAACUCAAUUUGCUUUUUAGUUAUUAAUGGAACUACUUUCCCAGGGAGGUAGUAGCUAGGGAAGGUUCAUUAUAUAUGCAUUUUAGUAAUUGGUAUUUGCCCCCUCUUUGAUUUUUCUUGAUUUGGAGAGAGAGCAUGCUUUCAUUAUUUUCUUGCAUUUUGCUUUAAUUGGUAGGAAAGGAAGUUAUUGAAUUGAAAACUCAUGUUAUCCCCCUCUUCUAAUGGAUUUAGGCAGGGAAUAGGCAAUUGUCUCAUUAAAAAUACACAUCUGACGCAAAUGCACUCUUAACAGUUAAUCAUGAUAAGAUUCAUAUGGAAUCCUCAUGAUCAAUGCUUGAGGAGCUUUAGCAUGAACAUCUGAACUCCUUCCGCUAACCAUCUGCUUGAAUGUACAUUGAUGCAAUU